UACGUAGGGGCCAAGCGUUGUCCGGAUUUAUUGGGCGUAAAGAGCUCGUAGGCGGUUCGGCAAGUCAGCUGUGAAAUCUCCACGCUCAACGUGGAGGGGUCAGCUGAUACUGCUGUGACUCGAGUCCGGUAGGGGAGUGUGGAAUUCCCGGUGUAGCGGUGAAAUGCGCAGAUAUCAGGAGGAACACCGAUGGCGAAGGCAGGUCACUGGGCCGCAACUGACGCUGAGGAGCGAAAGCAUGGGGAGCGAACAGG
rnacentral:rRNA from 1 species